rnacentral:tRNA from 2 species
GCAGACGUGGCCAAAUGGUUACGCUGUUCGCUUUGUAAGCGAAUAAUCAUGAGUUCGAUUCUCAUCUGCUCCU